rnacentral:rRNA from 1 species
GAUGAACGCUAGCGGCAGGCUUAAUACAUGCAAGUCGAGGGGUAGCAAGAUUGUAGCAAUACAAUUGUUGACGACCGGCAAACGGGUGCGGAACACGUACACAACCUUCCUACAAGUGGGGAAUAGCCCAGAGAAAUUUGGAUUAAUACCCCGUAACAUAGCGAUGUGGCAUCACAUUGCUAUUAUAGCUUCGGCGCUUGUUGAUGGGUGUGCGGCUGAUUAGAUAGUUGGCGGGGUAACGGCCCACCAAGUCUACGAUCAGUAGCUGAUGUGGGGGCAAGAUCAGCCACACGGGCACUGAGACACGGGCCCGACUCCUACGGGAGGCAGCAGUAAGGAAUAUUGGACAAUGGACGCAAGUCUGAUCCAGCCAUGCCGCGUGAAGGAUUAAGGUCCUCUGGAUUGUAAACUUCUUUUAUAAGGGACGAAAAAAGGUCUUUCUAGAUCGUCUGACGGUACCUUAUGAAUAAGCACCGGCUAACUCCGUGCCAGCCGCCGCGGUAA